GCCAGGAUUACCAACUAAUUAGAAGGGUGUUACUGAAGGCAUGGGAUGGGAGAGAGUAAGUGCUGGUACUGUGGUUUUGAGGCAGUGUGUGAGUCUGAUUUUGCCUGAUGAUAUCAUUUGCUAAACAUUAUACUUUGUGUUUUUGUCACACAGAUAAGCCUCAAGUGCACAUUCAGAUGACUUAUCCUUUACAAGGCCUAACCCGGGAAGGGGACGCGCUUGAGUUAACAUGUGAAGCCAUCGGGAAGCCCCAGCCUGUGAUGGUAACUUGGGUGAGAGUCGAUGAUGAAAUGCCUCAACACGCCGUACUGUCUGGGCCCAACCUGUUCAUCAAU
rnacentral:sRNA from 1 species